UACGGAGGGUGCGAGCGUUGUCCGGAAUCACUGGGCGUACAGAGCUCGUAGGUGGUUUGUUACGUCUGCUGUGAAAACCUAGGGCUUAACCCUGGGCCUGCAGUGGAUACGGGCAGACUAGAGGUAGGUAGGGGAGAAUGGAAUUCCCGGUGUAGCGGUGAAAUGCGCAGAUAUCGGGAGGAACACCGGUGGCGAAGGCGGUUCUCUGGGCCUUACCUGACACUGAGGAGCGAAAGCGUGGGGAGCGAACAGG
rnacentral:rRNA from 1 species